GACGUAGGGUGCAAGCGUUGUCCGGAUUUAUUGGGCGUAAAGAGCCCGUAGGCGGCUUGUUGCGUCGACUGUGAAAACCCGCGGCUUAACCGCGGGCUUGCAGUUGAUACGGGCAGGCUAGAGUUCGGUAGGGGAGACUGGAAUUCCUGGUGUAGCGGUGAAAUGCGCAGAUAUCAGGAGGAACACCGGUGGCGAAGGCGGGUCUCUGGGCCGAUACUGACGCUGAGGAGCGAAAGCGUGGGGAGCGAACAGG
rnacentral:rRNA from 1 species